rnacentral:rRNA from 1 species
GAUGAACGCUGGCGGCGUGCCUAAUACAUGCAAGUAGAACGCUGAAGGAAGGAGCUUGCUCUUUCCGGAUGAGUUGCGAACGGGUGAGUAACGCGUAGGUAACCUGCCUGGUAGCGGGGGAUAACUAUUGGAAACGAUAGCUAAUACCGCAUAACAGUAGAUGUUGCAUGAUAUCUACUUAAAAGGUGCAAUUGCACCACUACCAGAUGGACCUGCGUUGUAUUAGCUAGUUGGUGAGGUAACGGCUCACCAAGGCGACGAUACAUAGCCGACCUGAGAGGGUGAUCGGCCAAACUGGGACUGAGACACGGCCCAGACUACUACGGGAGGCAGCAGUAGGGUAUCUUCGGCAAUGGACGGAAGUCUGACCGAGCAACGCCGCGUGAGUGAAGAAGGGUGUCGGAUCGUAAAGCUCUGUUGUAAGAGAAGAACGAGUGUGAGAGUGGAAAGUUCACACUGUGACGGUAUCUGACCAGAAAGGGACGGCUAACUACGUG